CCAGCAGCCCGCGGUAAUACGUAGGUGGCAAGCGUUGUCCGGAUUUAUUGGGCGUAAAGCGAGCGCAGGCGGUUUCUUAAGUCUGAUGUGAAAGCCCCCGGCCCAUUUCGGGGAGGGUCAUUGGAAACUGGGAGACUUGAGUGCAGCAUAGGAGAGUGGAAUUCCAUGUGUAGCGGUGAAAUGCGUAGAUAUAUGGAGGAACACCAGUGGCGAAGGCGGCUCUCUGGUCUGUAACUGACGCUGAGGCUCGAAAGCGUGGGGAGCAAACAGGAUUAGAUUACCCUGGUA
rnacentral:rRNA from 1 species